AUCACCAAUAAUUAAACCAUAAAAAACCGAAAUUAUUUUUCCCUCUGGGGUGAUUACAACCACACGGGAGCUGUGAUGAGAGCUCAGCAAUCCUGUGAUAUAGGCAAAGCAGACCUGACAGUCACAGGGGUUCCAUCUCCAAAGUGACCUUAAGAUCUGAGGUGACCACUGCAACUCCAAGCCAUCCUGAGGGCAUGGCUGAGAACUGCUAUGAGUGCCUUUGGAAGGCCCAGGGGAACCCACGGUGGACGUCACGGCCAAAAGAUUACUGCCGAGGACUGCAUCUCAAGGAAUGGGCAAGGGGAAGACAGAAUCAGGCUAACUCAGCAAUGCCAGUGUCUCAAGCAUAAAAGAGCAUGUAACUGGACUAAGGGCAAUGAGGAACUUAAGAGGUGUCAACUACAUCAAGCUGCAUAGAGAGAUGGAAAUGAACAAUAUAAGAUAAAUCAAAGGAAGUCCUUCUUCAUGUAGAAGAGGAAUAACUCACAGACCUCAUUACCAAAGAAAAGUUUUCAUUAAUAAAUGUACCCAUUACAAUUUGAACAAUGACUGAGGAAGCUUGGGGUGGGAGUCUCUUGCCAAGCAAGUUGGGGCUCCCUUCCUCACCCUCCUGCUUUCCAGGCUGACCUCUCAGCAUCUCCCAUGUCUCUUUUGCCCUAGCCACACAGAACCAUGGCUGCUCCCUGAACCCCCCAGUUCUUCCCACUUCCAUGCCCUUGUGCAUCCUCUUCCUGAACCCUCAAGUUCAAAUAUCAAAAUUUGGAAAUCCCAUAUUGAGUUAAUUGCUCCCUCAUCUGAAAUCACUUUGAAGUGCUCACAGUCUGUCUCCUCCACUAGACUGUGAGCUCUCUGAAGGUAGGGAGUGUGGCGUAUUCAUCCCUGAACCCCAGAACCUGCCUGUGUGCCUGACACUUAUCAGGAUCCUAACAGAUAAAUGAAUGGCUCAAUCACCAUUACCACCUUCAUUUUAUCAGAGUCAUUUAUUGAGCCCCUCAUGGCUCUCGACAGAGAGUGUGCACUAUACUGAAUUCUGGCAAUUUCAUUGACAUUAUAAGAAUCCAAGUGUGGUGAAAAUCUGAGCUGUUUAAGGCUGGAUCUGAGGAGUCUUGGAGGAAAAUAAGGGAUUAGAGGACAUUCCAGGACACUAUAGAAGGUUUCCUUCUGGGACAGGUCCUGUGAUGACUGCAAGAUCAACAUAGUCCCAGUUGUCACAGAGCUGAGAGAUACAGUGCCAACACAGGUGAGGCAUAUAGAAGAAAAUUAAGGACUAAGAGCUACGGAACUGACUUAUUCCUGCUGUAGUGACUUCAGAGAAGAGAGGGCUAGAAUAAUCAGGAAGGCUUCAUGGAGGAGGUGACAUGAGCUGGGCUGUGAAUUUCAUUUAGAUACAGAAAGAUAGAUGUCCCUAGAGUAAGGAAAAACAUGGGCCUAGAACCAAUAAUUAAUCAAUAUGGCUUAGAACAAGCAAUGAGUAGCCCUAAGUUCAUUCUGUACUCUAAGACAAGUUCUGCUACAGGCAGGAAAGACAUGAAGAAAUACCUUCCUUUGCACCAAGACACUAUUUUUUUUAAUAUGGGGAAUUUUAAAAAAAAGAACUCCAGAUGGAUUUUAAACACAGUGGGGAACUGGGCGGUGUGAUGGCAGAUGGCUAUUUCAGCUGCACAUGGGUAAAAAUAAUUCCAACUCCCCAAUACCCAGGACUGCUCUGAACUUGUGAAAACCUUUUAAGGAAAAGCUGCAGUGUGAUGCUCAAAGCGCAGAGCUGCAGCAGACUGGGGGCCAAGGGCUUGGAACUCACCAAUAAGAAAACAGCUACCGCUGUUGGGACAACAGAACUCAACCCAUUUGGGGAGGCUCCCUUCUGACCAGGUUCUGUCUGGGCCGGCCCUCGAUGUCAGUCCAGGCUCUCUGGCAUGUCUUCCUCUAUGUUGGGAGAAAGGGGAAGUGAGAUGUGUCAACAUGAGGGCUAUCAAGUAGGGAGGCUGUAAGAUGAAGGCAUGGGGAGCAGGAAAUGUACAGAAGGGAAGAGUAGUGAGUGCAUGCUGUGGGAGGGAAGGUUGGCCCAGAGGAGGGCAGGGCAGUGACUGUGAAAGGUAGCACUUCUGCAUGUCUAGUGGCUACAAAUGUUGAUACACUGGCUUCACAGUGGAAAGCUGGUCUCAUCCACGUUUACUGUCGUCUGCACCACAUCCCAGAGUUGGAAGGGGAGACUUAUGUGGAAAUUCCCUUUGUCCAUCUGAAUGCCACCUUCUGGAACACUGAUCCUCAGCUGAUAUUGCCAUAAGUACUAUUGCAUAGUAUUCAUAAGAGUUUAAAGUUAAUUUGCAUCUCACAUUCCUUUUCAUAAUAGAAUCACUUAGAUUUUGAGAUUUUCUUAACAAACCCUUCUAUUUUGUAGCUUUAGAAAUAAGACCCAGAGAAGUGAAAUAACUAACUUUUUAGUAGCAGAUCCGUGACCCAUACAGGGCUCUUGUCCAUAUAUGUCCUUAAUUAUUAGCCCACCCUUCCUUGGCGUUGAAAGAUACAAGGGACACAGGAGAAUGAAAUGGGCCCAAGAAAACUCUCCAUGCAGCUUGCAUUAGGGCAGAAAGGACAACAAGGGACAUGCUCCAUGUGAUAGAUGAGGUGCCAUGAGUUUGAGUGACUGAGCCUCAGUCCUCUGACUCCCAUGGCCCGCAUAGCAGCAAGGAGAAGGGGAAUGCAGCUGGGCCCUGCCAGCCCCAGGCUCCUUCUCUCCCCCACCCCCUGCAUUUUCUUUGUGUGAGUUUCCCUUCUCCUUUCUUGCUCUCCCACCCCCCAACCCCCGUGUCCUCAAGCUGGGACACUCAUUCAUUUCACAAAUACCGACUUAGCCCACACUACAAUGCAGCCAUAGACACCUUGGACAAAGUACCUGUUCUCACAGAGCUGAUGUUCUGGUGGGAAAAUACAAACAAAAACAAAUAACCAUGAAGUUAUGUGGUGCUGGGUGUGUGUGGAAAAACAAAAUGGAUGAGGGAGGAAGAGUGUCAUGGCAGGCAGUGGUUAGACAAAGAGGAGCAGAGACCUGGAAAGGGGGAAGGAGACCAGCUAUCUGAAGACAUAGAACAGGUGUGUGAUGGGCAGAGGGUAGCAGCCAGUGCAAAAGACGUGAGAUGGGCACUUGCCCAGCAUGUUUGAGGAACAGCAGGGAUCUGCAGAGCUGGGGGAAAGAAAGCAAAGGGGAGGACAACAGAUCAGCCCAGAGCAUGAGGCCAUGGCAAAGAUUUGGCUUUAGCUCAGGGUGAGAUAGCAGCCAUGGGAGGGUUCAAUUUAGGAGAACCUAAUAUUUUAAAAGGAUCAUCCUGGCUGCAGUGUUGGCUAGGGAUAGAAGAAAGGAGAAUGUGCUCAGGCUAAGGUAGCAAUGAGGUGAGAGAUGAUGGUGACCUGGGCCAUCAGAUCUACCCAGGUGACAGGGUAGAUCAGGGGCUCCCAAAUUUCCCAGCUCAAAAAACCCUGUUUGUCAUUUAAUAACCUUACAAACACUUCCCAGCCUAAUAACAGUUACCAUUUUGGCAUUUGUGGAUUGGGCAAACACUUGAUGUCCACAUUUCUAAACAAAUCCACAAUGUUCAUAGCCCAACAGGGCUUCCAUACAUUUGAAAAAGAAUUGUACAUACAAAUAGUUGAUUUUCAGGCCCCCUAUGUCACUGUGGCCCCAAAGUAGGCCACUGAAGCUUUGCUUCCCUCACUUUUCCCAUUCCCUUGACCAGCCUAAGCCCUGAUUCCUCCAACCUCUCUGCUAGAAGGGGCUUAAUCAGCUUAAGUGGGCAAUAGUGUUGAUGGGUGAGGAUGACAACUGAGCAGGGAUUCCUAACUUAGCAUUGAUCCAUAGUUGAGAUUUGAAGAGUCAAGAACAGCUGGAGAUUGUAAGCAAAAUGCCUGUGAGUGGGGUGAGGGUGUGCUGUAUGAGGUCAACUUUCAUUAGAUUCUCGAGGGCCCUUUACUAAGAAAAAAAGGGGAGAAGGGCAAGAACCACAAGUUUAAUGAGUUAUUCCUCCCAAAUAUUAUGUAUGUUUUAGCAAGGACCUUCAACGCUUAACCCCAAAUAGUGAGUGCCAGAUGUGGGAAGGACAGACAUUUCAAAACCAUAAGGCUUCAGUUGGCCCUAAGCAGAAAGGGACCCACACAAUCUAUAGCUAGAACAUAACAUUUCUGACUCCAGAAGACAGCUUUCUUUCCCUCCUAAAGUCAGUCUUGGACCCUGCCUAUAACACGCUCAAUAAGAAUUUGUGGAAUGAAAAAAACGCCAUACAAGGGUUCCCAUCUGAGAAACAACAGAAAGGCAAUGGUGUAUGCUGUGCUGCAAGAUCAUUCCAAAUGAACUCAUGUAUUCGGAGCAAAACUAAAUAAAUAAAAAAGCCAAAGGCUGUAUGCUACUCUUGAAUAAUCAUGCCUGAUUUGAAGGUCAAGAGCAUUACAAUGCCCCACUUCACAGAGGUGCAUGAAGGCCGAAGCUUGCGGUAUGGUAGAAGAAUUUGCAGGGUAUAAUUAUGCACCCCUUCAACAUCCCCACUGGCUUCCACGUGAUAUGAGACAAUGUGUCACAGUCCCAUACAGUCAAAGCAGUAAUUUACAAGAGUCAGCAAUUCCAUGGGGCAGGUAGGCCAUAUUUCAAAACUGGAAAGGGAGUUGGGGGGAAGAAGGGGGAAAGCAACCGAUCAAUUUACAAAGAUCCUGUUUCUCUGCCACUCUGUUGACCUUUCAGGCAAGACCUAAUGCCAAUUAGCUCAGUUAUAAAGUCCAUAAUUCUUCUGGGGAAGGCCAUGGGUAGCACAUGAUCAUUUUACAACGUUUGCCCUAAUUUGCAGCCCCCAAACAUGGACUCCUGGGGCUGCAAGGUGGGGGUGGAGGGAAUUUGUUGGCAAGCAACGGGAGCAGCUGGAAGGGAUCACAGAGCACAAUUACUGUCUGCGC